rnacentral:rRNA from 1 species
GAUGAACGCUGGCGGCGUGCCUAAUACAUGCAAGUCGAGCGAACAGAUAAGGAGCUUGCUCCUUUGACGUUAGCGGCGGACGGGUGAGUAACACGUGGGUAACCUACCUAUAAGACUGGGAUAACUUCGGGAAACCGGAGCUAAUACCGGAUAACAUUUGGAACCGCAUGGUCCUAAAGUGAAAGAUGGUUUUGCUAUCACUUAUAGAUGGACCCGCGCCGUAUUAGCUAGUUGGUAAGGUAACGGCUUACCAAGGCGACGAUACGUAGCCGACCUGAGAGGGUGAUCGGCCACACUGGAACUGAGACACGGUCCAGACUCCUACGGGAGGCAGCAGUAGGGAAUCUUCCGCAAUGGGCGAAAGCCUGACGGAGCAACGCCGCGUGAGUGAUGAAGGGUUUCGGCUCGUAAAACUCUGUUAUUAGGGAAGAACAAAUGUGUAAGUAACUGUGCACGUCUUGACGGUACCUAAUCAGAAAGCCACGGCUAACUACGUGCCAGCAGCCGCGGUAAUACGUAGGUGGCAAGCGUUAUCCGGAAUUAUUGGGCGUAAAGCGCGCGUAGGCGGUUUCUUAUGUCUGAUGUGAAAGCCCACGGCUCAACCGUGGAGGGUCAUUGGAAACUGGGAAACUUGAGUGCAGAAGAGGAAAGUGGAAUUCCAUGUGUAGCGGUGAAAUGCGCAGAGAUAUGGAGGAACACCAGUGGCGAAGGCGACUUUCUGGUCUGUAACUGACGCUGAUGUGCGAAAGCGUGGGGAUCAAACAGGAUUAGAUACCCUGGUAGUCCACGCCGUAAACGAUGAGUGCUAAGUGUUAGGGGGUUUCCGCCCCUUAGUGCUGCAGCUAACGCAUUAAGCACUCCACCUGGGGAGUACGACCGCAAGGUUGAAACUCAAAGGAAUUGACGGGGACCCGCACAAGCGGUGGAGCAUGUGGUUUAAUUCGAAGCAACGCGAAGAACCUUACCAAAUCUUGACAUCCUUUGAAAACUCUAGAGAUAGAGCCUUCCCCUUCGGGGGACAAAGUGACAGGUGGUGCAUGGUUGUCGUCAGCUCGUGUCGUGAGAUGUUGGGUUAAGUCCCGCAACGAGCGCAACCCUUAAGCUUAGUUGCCAUCAUUAAGUUGGGCACUCUAGGUUGACUGCCGGUGACAAACCGGAGGAAGGUGGGGAUGACGUCAAAUCAUCAUGCCCCUUAUGAUUUGGGCUACACACGUGCUACAAUGGACAAUACAAAGGGCAGCUAAACCGCGAGGUCAUGCAAAUCCCAUAAAGUUGUUCUCAGUUCGGAUUGUAGUCUGCAACUCGACUACAUGAAGCUGGAAUCGCUAGUAAUCGUAGAUCAGCAUGCUACGGUGAAUACGUUCCCGGGUCU